UACGUAGGGUGCAAGCGUUGUCCGGAAUUACUGGGCGUAAAGAGUUCGUAGGCGGUUUGUCGCGUCGACUGUGAAAACCCGCGGCUCAACUGCGGGCUUGCAGCCGAUACGGGCAGGCUAGAGUUCGGUAGGGGAGACGUGGAAUUCCUGGUGUGAGCGGUGGAAAUACGCAGAUAUCAGGAGGAACACCGGUGGCGAAGGCGGGUCUCUGGGCCGAUACUGACGCUGAGGAGCGAAAGCGUGGGGAGCGAACAGG
rnacentral:rRNA from 1 species